GUUUUAAGUUUGAAAGAUGCAAUUGCAUCACUCAAAGAUGAUCCCGCGUUGUAUUAGCUAGUUGGUGAGGUAAAGGCUCACCAAGGCGAUGAUACAUAGCCGACCUGAGAGGGUGAUCGGCCACAUUGGGACUGAGACACGGCCCAAACUCCUACGGGAGGCAGCAGUAGGGAAUCUUCGGCAAUGGACGAAAGUCUGACCGAGCAACGCCGCGUGAGUGAAGAAGGUUUUCGGAUCGUAAAACUCUGUUGGUAGAGAAGAACGUUGGUGAGAGUGGAAAGCUCAUCAAGUGACGGUAACUACCCAGAAAGGGACGGCUAACUACGUGCCA
rnacentral:rRNA from 1 species